rnacentral:rRNA from 1 species
CCAAUAGCGUAUAUUAAAGUUGUUGCAGUUAAAAAGCUCGUAGUUGAAUUUCGGGAUCGACGGGUCGGUCGCGCCUCUGGUGUGUACUGGCCCUGUCGGUUUCUCCCUUCUGACGAACCACGAUGUCAUUAAUUUGGUGUCGUGGGAAAUCAGGACUGUUACUUUGAAAAAAUUAGAGUGUUUAAAGCAAGCAUUCGCUU